rnacentral:rRNA from 1 species
UGGGGAAUCUUGGACAAUGGGGGCAACCCUGAUCCAGCGACGCCGCGUGGGUGAUGAAGGCCUUCGGGUUUAAAGGGUACGUAGGCGGAAGGCUAAGUCCGGGGUGAAAGCCCCCAGCUCAACUGGGGAACUGCCCUGGAUACUGGUCAUCUUGAGUGCCGUAGAGGUAGGCGGAAUUCAUGGUGUAGCGGUGAAAUGCAUAGAUACCAUGAGGAACACCGAUAGGGAAGCCAGCUUACUAGACGGUUACUGACGCUGAGGUACGAAAGCGUGGGGAGCGAACAGGAUUAGAUACCCGUGUAGUCC